CCUACGGGUGGCAGCAGUGAGGAAUAUUGGUCAAUGGGCGGGAGCCUGAACCAGCCAAGCCGCGUGAGGGAAGAAGGUACUGCGUAUCGUAAACCUCUUUUGUCAGGGAACAAAGGCGGGGACUAGUCCCCGGAUGAGGGUACCUGAAGAAAAAGCAUCGGCUAACCCGGUGCCAGCAGCCGCGGUAAUACGGGGGAUGCGGGCGUUAUCCGGAUUUGUUGGGUUUAAGGGGUGCGCAGGCGGCCUGUUAAGUCAGCGGUAAAACCCCGGGGCUCAACCCCGGCGAGCCGUUGAAACUGGCGGGCUGGAGUUGGAUAGAGGGACGCGGAAUUCGCGGUGUAGCGGUGAAAUGCUUAGAUAUCGCGCAGAACCCCGAUUGCGAAGGCAGCGUACCGGCUCCACACUGACGCUGAGGCACGAAAGCGUGGGUAUCGAACAGGAUUAGAUACCCUGGUAGUC
rnacentral:rRNA from 1 species